GACGAACGCUGGCGGCGUGCUUAACACAUGCAAGUCGAACGCUGAAGCUUGGUGCUUGCACUGGGUGGAUGAGUGGCGAACGGGUGAGUAAUACGUGAGUAACCUGCCCUUGACUCUGGGAUAAGCCUGGGAAACUGGGUCUAAUACUGGAUACGACAUGUCACCGCAUGGUGGUGUGUGGAAAGGGUUUUACUGGUUUUGGAUGGGCUCACGGCCUAUCAGCUUGUUGGUGGGGUAAUGGCUCACCAAGGCGACGACGGGUAGCCGGCCUGAGAGGGUGACCGGCCACACCGGGACUGAGACACGGCCCAGACUCCUACGGGAGGCAGCAGUGGGGAAUAUUGCACAAUGGGCGGAAGCCUGAUGCAGCGACGCCGCGUGAGGGAUGACGGCCUUCGGGUUGUAAACCUCUUUCAGCACGGAAGAAGCGAAAGUGACGGUACGUGCAGAAGAAGCGCCGGCUAACUACGUG
rnacentral:rRNA from 1 species